AGCUUCACCAUGAAAAGAAGCCGAUUGUCAUGACAUACAUACACAUGUUGUCGCAUAACCUGGAGAAUAUUGCUAACAGAGACAGCAUUGUUGCU
rnacentral:lncRNA from 1 species